GCGUACUCGUCUGAGCCCGGUCACCAGACCCGAACCAUGGGCUCUGAUACCAUUGUUGGGGAGGUUCGACACACACAUAGAUAUCCAAACAUGGUAAGAUAUUGUCCGCUUUGGGCCAAGCUCUCACAAAUUUACUUUUGGCACCACUCCAAAAGGCCUCUUACCAAAGGAGGUAUCUAUGUGUAUAUAAACCCUUAACCAG
rnacentral:lncRNA from 1 species